rnacentral:rRNA from 1 species
UACGGAGGGUGCAAGCGUUAUCCGGAUUCACUGGGUUUAAAGGGUGCGUAGGUGGGUCUGUAAGUCAGUGGUGAAAUCUCCAAGCUUAACUUGGAACUGCCGUUGAUACUAUAGACCUUGAAUGCUGUGGAGGUGAGCGGAAUAUGUCAUGUAGCGGUGAAAUGCUUAGAUAUGACAUAGAACACCAAUUGCGAAGGCAGCUCACUACCCAGAUAUUGACACUGAGGCACGAAAGCGUGGGGGAUCAAACAGG